ACGCACAUCUAUGCCGGAGCACCAGGCUGCCCCCAGCGGCUCCUCCGGGCCUUCUGCAGCCCCAUCACCCACCCACAUGGAACAUGGCUGGGGUGGACUGAAGGGAUGGAGCUGGGGCAGGACACAGCCCUAGGAGCAUCUGCCUGGCGCCAGCUUCUGCUGACGGCAGCUCAACAGCCCCCAGCCACGUGGCAAAGAGGGUCCCCAUGCAGCCCUGGCUGCAGCUGCUCCAGGGGUGGCCUGAAACUUCUCAAAGAAGAUGCUGUGUCCGGCCCCCCUGAACCCCCACUUGGCCUGACCCCACUGAUGCUGCAGACCCCCAGCCCAGCCAGGUGGGGACACCCAGCACCCACCCGCAGGGAGGGGCAGCGUGCGGCCCACUGACCUCCCGGAAGAAGGCGGCGUUCCUCUGCACGUUGUUGCUGGCAUGAGCAGCCUGGAUCUCGGGGUAAAAGGAGCUGAUGACAUAGUCGAGCAGCUGCACUCGAAUGUCGUUCCUCCCCACGCUGGGGCCUGCACGCCCUGUGUGCUCAUCUGCAGACUUAAAAAUCUCAAAGGAUCCAAACCUGGAGGGAAGACCCGAGGGGUCAACAGGUCAAACCUGACCCCAACCACUUGUGAAAAUAAGAAAAAGAAAAAGA
rnacentral:antisense_RNA from 1 species